rnacentral:tRNA from 1 species
GCGCCCGUAGCUCAACUGGAUAGAGCGUCGGACUUCGGAUCCGAAGGUUGUGGGUUCGAAUCUCGCCGGGCGCGCCA